ACACAUGCAAGUCGAGCGGAAACGACUUAUCUGAACCUUCGGGGAACGUUAACGGCGUCGAGCGGCGGACGGGUGAGUAAUGCCUAGGAAAUUGCCUUGAUGUGGGGGAUAACCAUUGGAAACGAUGGCUAAUACCGCAUAAUGCCUACGGGCCAAAGAGGGGGACCUUCGGGCCUCUCGCGUCAAGAUAUGCCUAGGUGGGAUUAGCUAGUUGGUGAGGUAAUGGCUCACCAAGGCGACGAUCCCUAGCUGGUCUGAGAGGAUGAUCAGCCACACUGGAACUGAGACACGGUCCAGACUCCUACGGGAGGCAGCAGUGGGGAAUAUUGCACAAUGGGCGAAAGCCUGAUGCAGCCAUGCCGCGUGUAUGAAGAAGGCCUUCGGGUUGUAAAGUACUUUCAGUUGUGAGGAAGGGGGUGUCGUUAAUAGCGGCAUCUCUUGACGUUAGCAACAGAAGAAGCACCGGCUAACUCCGUGCCAGCAGCCGCGGUAAUACGGAGGGUGCGAGCGUUAAUCGGAAUUACUGGGCGUAAAGCGCAUGCAGGUGGUUCAUUAAGUCAGAUGUGAAAGCCCGGGGCUCAACCUCGGAACUGCAUUUGAAACUGGUGAACUAGAGUACUGUAGAGGGGGGUAGAAUUUCAGGUGUAGCGGUGAAAUGCGUAGAGAUCUGAAGGAAUACCAGUGGCGAAGGCGGCCC
rnacentral:rRNA from 1 species